rnacentral:rRNA from 1 species
CAGUAGCCGCGGGAAUACAGAGGGUGCAAGCGUUAAUCGGAAUUACUGGGCGUAAAGCGCGCGUAGGUGGUUUGUUAAGUUGGAUGUGAAAUCCCCGGGCUCAACCUGGGAACUGCAUCCAAAACUGGCAAGCUAGAGUAUGGUAGAGGGUGGUGGAAUUUCCUGUGUAGCGGUGAAAUGCGUAGAUAUAGGAAGGAACACCAGUGGCGAAGGCGACCACCUGGACUGAUACUGACACUGAGGUGCGAAAGCGUGGGGAGCAAACAGGAUUAGAUACCCGUGUAGUCCCUGUCUCUUAUAC